rnacentral:rRNA from 1 species
UGGCAGAUAGCUCAGUAACACGUGGCCAAACUACCCUGUCGAUCGGGACACCCUCGGGAAACUGAGGCUAAUCCCGGAUACGGCUCGCUGCCUGGAGGUGGCGCGAGCCCGAAACGUUCAGGCGCGACAGGAUGUGGCUGCGGCCGAUUAGGUAGACGGUGGGGUAACGGCCCACCGUGCCGAUAAUCGGUACGGGUUGUGAAAGCAAGAGCCCGGAGACGGAAUCUGAGACAAGAUUCCGGGCCCUACGGGGCGCAGCAGGCGCGAAACCUUUACACUGCACGCGAGUGCGAUAGGGGGACUCCAAGUGCGAGGGCAUACAGUCCUCGCUUUUCACCACCGUAAGGAGGUGGUAGAAUAAGUGCUGGGCAAGACCGGUGCCAGCCGCCGCGGUAAUACCGGCAGCACGAGUGAUGACCGCUAUUAUUGGGCCUAAAGCGUCCGUAGCCGGCCAGGCAAGUCCAUCGGGAAAUCCGCACGCCUAACGUGCGGGCGUCCGGUGGAAACUGCUUGGCUUGGGACCGGAAGAUCCAGAGGGUACGUCUGGGGUAGGAGUGAAAUCCUGUAAUCCUGGACGGACCACCGGUGGCGAAAGCGCUCUGGAAAGACGGAUCCGACGGUGAGGGACGAAAGCUUGGGUCACGAACCGGAUUAGAUACCCGGGUAGUCCAAGCUGUAAACGAUGUCUGCUAGGUGUGGCACAGGC